rnacentral:rRNA from 1 species
CACGUAGGGUGCGAGCGUUGUCCGGAAUUAUUGGGCGUAAAGAGCUCGUAGGCGGUGUGUCGCGUCGGCCGUGAAAACCUGCAGCUUAACUGUGGGCUUGCGGUCGAUACGGGCAUCACUGGAGUUCGGCAGGGGAGACUGGAAUUCCUGGUGUAGCGGUGGAAUGCGCAGAUAUCAGGAGGAACACCGAUGGCGAAGGCAGGUCUCUGGGCCGAUGACUGACGCUGGAGGAGCGAAAGCGUGGGGAGCGAACAGG